GCCAUAGUGUGUAGCUUAGUUGGUAGGGCAUAAGACUAUUAAUCUUAGGAUCAUAGGUUUGAACCCCAUGUUGGGCA